CUAUAGCGUUUAUCAUUUUUCUAAUUUCUUCUCUAGCCGAGUGUGAGAGAUUACCUUUUGAUUUUUUAUUCUUUCUUUCCUAUAUACUCAUUUUAUCUAGAGAGAUAGAAUCAUUGUCAUGNCGCGCGAAUAGAGAUAGCAGAGGCAUGGGAUACCAUUCCAUUUGCGCAAGUAAUAAGGGGUUCCAUAUUAAUAACUCAAUCUCUUUUUAGAAAAUAUAUUUUAUUACCUUCAUUGAUAAUAGCGAAAAAUAUUGGACGUAUGUUAUUAUUGCAACUUCCUGAAUGGUACGAGGAUUUAGAGGAAUGGAAUAGGGAGAUGCAUGUUAAAUGUACCUAUAAUGGUGUUCAAUUGUCUGAAACAGAAUUUUCACAAAAUUGGUUGACAGAUGGUAUUCAGAUAAAAAUCUUAUUUCCUUUCUGUCUGAAACUUGGCAUAUAUCUAAACUCCGAUUCUCUCAUAAAGAUCUAAUAAUGAAAAAGAAAAAAAGAAAAAGAUGGUUUUUGUUUUUUAACAAUUUUGGGGAUGGAAACCAAACUUCCUUUUAGUACUCCAAGAAAACGACCCUCUUUUUUGGAAUCCAUUUUUAAGGAACUCGAAAAAAAUUGGAAAAAUUCAAAAGAAAUAUUUUCUACUUCUAAAAAUUUUUAAAGGAAAAAUAAAAUUACUUCGAAAAGUUUCAAAAGAAACAAAAAAAGGGGUUAUGAAAAGUGUCGUUUUUAAAAAAAGAAAAAGAAAAAGAAAAGAACUCUUAAAAGUAAAUCCAAUUCUCUUAUUUCGAUCAAGAAAAGUAGAAGUAAAUGAAUCGAGUGAAACUAAAAAAGAAAGAGAUCCCAUAAUCACCAAUCAGAUGAUUCAUAAACCAUUUAGUCAAAUUGCAUCUCCAGAUUGGACAAAUUCUUCAUUGACAGAAAAAAAUGAAGGAUCUGACUAAUAGAACAAAUACAAUUAGAAAUCAAAUAGAAAGAAUAACAAGAGAGAGAAAAAAAGUAACUCCGGAGAUAAAUAUUAGUCUUAGCAAAACAAGUUAUAAUGCUAAAAGAUUAGAAAAAUGGCAAAUAUUGAAAAGAAGAAAUGCUCGAUUUAUUUCUAAAUUACAUUUGUUUUUAAAUUUUUCAUUGAAAGAAUCUACAAAAAUAUAUUUUUAUCCAUCAUUAAUAUUCCUAGAAUGAAGAGAAAAUUAUUUCUUGAAUCAACAAAAAAAAAAAAUUAUGAAUAAAUCCAUUUACAAUAAUAAAACAAGUCAAGAAAUAAUUAAUAAAAAAAAUCAAAAUCCAAUUGAGUUUAUUUUGACUAUAAAAAAGUCACUUUAUAAUAUUAGCAAUAGUAAGAAAAAUUCACAUAUUUUUUUAUGACUUAUCGUACUUAUCGCAGGCAUAUGUAUUUUAAAAAUUAUCACAAGCCCAAAUUAUUAACUUGUCUAAAUUAAAAUCAUUUCUUCAAUAUCAAGGAAUCCCUUUUUUUCUUAAGCCUGAAAUAAAGGAUUCUUUUGAAACACAAAGAAUAGUUCAUUCUAAAUUAAAGGAUAAUA
rnacentral:lncRNA from 1 species